rnacentral:rRNA from 1 species
UACAGAGGGGGCAAGCGUUAUUCGGAAUUAUUGGCGUAAAAGGGCGCGUAGGCGGGCGCGGGCAGUCAACGGUGAAAGCUCGGGGCGUCAACUCCGAGUCGGCUGUCGAUACUCCCCGUGGCUCGAGCACUGUAGAGGGCAAGGUGGAAUUCCGGGGUGUAGCGGUGGAAUGGCGUAGAGAUCCGGAAGAACACCGGGUGGCG